GUUGAGAUGGCCGAGAUGGUCUAAGGCGCCAGAUUAAUGUUCUUAUUCGAAAGGGCAUGGGUUCAAAUCCGACUCUCAACA
rnacentral:tRNA from 1 species